GAUCCGAUAUUUCUAUGUAAUAGGGUAUUUUACACCUAGUGAGAAAUGAUCUAAAAAUAUUUAUUUACGAUAGUUUAGGCAAUAAGAAAACGGGAAGUGUAAGUAUCAGUUCACAAAAUUAUAAAAUAAAUUUUAUAUUUUAAUUCGAAAUUUUCACUUUUUUUUAUCUGUGCAACAAUUAUGCGAACCGCUAGCCGCCUAUGUACCCGCCAUAUUACUACGUCAUCAUGUCAGUAAAUCCUUCCCUUUCUAAUUGCAUGAC